AAUAUCAACUAAAGCACAUCAAUCAUCAGCAGCAUCAGUAGGUAAAAAACAUUGUGUCGAAUAAACCCAACAUAACCAUCAGCAACGAACAAAAUAUGUGGCGGAGAACACCAAUCCGCAAUCCAAAAUAUCAUAUUAGCAACAGCAACAGCAACAGCAUAAGCUCUUCCCAAGGAAAGCAGGUAGUAAUAAUCUUCACAAAGAAGACAAAAUAAAAGUGCAAAUAUCGAUGCACUUAUGAGCCCAAAUAGAGGUCAUAGACAAAAUUGCAGCAUGGGUCACUGCAAACCACUGGUAAAAGUGCAGUAUAGGUUACUAUGAACCAAUAACAGCAUCAGAUUGUUGGAUACCAAAUAACUCAGCAGCAAGUUGCUAGGAACCACUCAGCAUAAUGUUGUUGUAAACCACUCAGCAUAAGGUUGUUGUAAACCAAAUAAAUUGCGUUGUAGAUGAAUACCAUCUUCAUAGAUAAAAUUGUUGCUGAAGACACGAGCAGAU